AGCAGUUCUAGACUGGGGCGGCUUCUGCGAGCUCCAGAUAUCCGCUUAUCCAUUAGGAGUGAAGGUGGGGAUCGGAGAGAGAGGAGCGAAGCGAGACAGACGGAGGGAGACGGAUAGACUGGACAGACAUAGCGUGCUUCUUUUGAACUCAGCAGCGUUCAUGGAAGAGUUAGAGACCUUCUGAUAACUAAAAGGUGGGAAGUUUCCUGCGGUCUAAAGUCAACCUCCAGCCUCUCCUGCGUUUGUCUUGAACGCCCGGACGGAGAGGGAGUCGGUUGCUAUCUUUGGUUAUCUAGCUGUAUGAGUGUUAUUCAGCCGUCAUAAAGCUAGAUAACCGAAAGUAGAAAUGACUUCCAAACCUGCGCGCCACCCUAAGAAAAUGUAAGCGAUAGACGAAGAAAGUGACCAAGAAUUCACGAAAACGAGAGCUGCUAUAAACCCAGGCAGAAUUUUCAACUGAGACACCGCUUCUGUUAACUCGUCUUCCAAGGAAAAGACGGUCCAGACCUUCCACGAUUACAGUGCCUAUAGAGGACGUCAGGAGACCAAUCACAGCAAUGACAACUUGACUUCAAGGAAAGCGACUGCCAGUUAUUCUCACCAUGUCUCGAUGGAGGAAGAAAAUAAAAGGGCGCAGUUUUAAAAAAAAAGACAACAAAAUACAAAGUCAACCCCGACCCCCCCACCCCCCUCCAUCUACCCUCUCCCAUCCCUGCUCUCCUAACCCCCUUGUCCCCCUGGCUCUGCCCCUCCUGGGAGCCCUCAGUGCCAUCUGUGCCCCCCGAGAAACUGCGAGCCCCUUCCAACCGGUGCCAACAGGGACAAAGAAGCUGCCAGCCGCUGCCGUCCCCCGCCCUGCCAGAUGCCAUUUUGUGUGCCGGAGAACCAUGUGAGUGUGUGUGGGUGUGCUGCGGAAGCCAUCUUGAAAGGAAAUCUUGCUGCUGCUCCUAAAAUGGCUGUGUUGGCACGAGGUUUCACUAAGAGUUUGUGCACCUGGAGAACAGAAUCUUGUUGGAGGCUCUGUACAGAUUCACUGCUUGCUCUCAAAGUGGCUCUUUGCUUCAGUGCAAAAUUAACGUUAUACACAGGCCGACCUCUGCACUAGCACCUCAGAAGAGAGGUGCGUCAGACAGUUCUGAAUACUGUUCCCAGAACAGAGCAUUCUCCUGCAAACAAAAAUGCCUGUGUGAAAACAAGCUUCAAGAGAUUCCAUGAGCUGAAAACCUCUCAGCUAUACAGACUGUCUUUGACAAGGUCCUGCUGUGGACUCCGGAUGUUGAUGCCGAUCUGGGGAAUGAGAGACCCCACUUUGUGUCAUCUACUUCACCAUGUGAUUACCCAGAGUGAGACUGGCACACACCCCAGGACUCCAGAAGAGCAUGUGCAAGCUUGCUGGGUAUAAUUACAUCCAGGCAAUGGACAAGUCUGGGUGAACUUUGCAGUUCAUUGCUUUCCACAGGAUAAAGCCUCAGAAUCAUGGACGUCAAGGCCCACAAAGACAUUAAUGCACUGGGAGACAAUCAAAGAGCAAACCAGAGCCUCAACAUUUUCACAAGUGAGCCGUUGAAAAAUGAUGAUAUGUCCUUCAUCCCAAUAUGUGUGUUAUCGCAGAACAAACAGAUGUAUAGAUAAAAGAAUCAGUGUAUUUUAAAGUCAUGAACUGUAAAAAACAAAACAAACAUUGUUCAGUUCUGUAAGGUCAGCUGGCCAGAUUGGUUUGAGUUGUCAAGAAUUGUCUAUUCUGUUUUUUUUUAAACUUCUUGCUAAAUAAAAUCUUCAAGGACCCCCAAUUCAAGGAUGUGGGAGUAUAGAACAAGCUACCCAGUGUUUUUUUAGGCUUGUUUGAAAAUGACAUCUUUCAGGAAAUGACUGGAUGAGAUUCUCAAAUCUAUUACCCACCAGCUAUAAAAUAGGCUGUGAUGUCAGAAUGGCCUCCUGUUUAAUGUCACCUUUCUCAUGUUCUUAUGAUCCUUUAAUUCCUCCAACAAGGGACUGAGAAUCAGACACACCCCUGAAUUGAGAGACACUAACUCAUUCAUUUUGCAAUAUGAAAGCCAAACAAUAUAUGUCUCAGUUGUUAGUAGUAAUUUUUCAUUAUGAACUUGUAUGCAAUAUAGUUGACAUAUGUGAUGCUAGCAUAGGUAAACAAUCACUCAAUAUACUGAACUGCAUUUGGUCACUAUGUGUAUGUUUGUUCAAUAACUAAAAAGAGCAGUGACAAUCACCAGUGUGAGAAAACGAAUUAAUGAGAGUGUGAGGCAGUAAAAUGUCUCUGUCUUCAGAAUACAGAUGUUUUCAAUGUAACACUCCUCUUUGGAGCUUUGUAGAAAAUUGUGCCUUAAUGAGUGUAGAGUUUACAUGAAUUUUCAAUUGCACCCUUUAGAAUAAUAAUAUGAAUUUAAAUAAACAGAUCUUGAGCACUUCUAAAAUAAUGUAGUGUAAAUUAAUUUUGUACUGUAAUCCUAGGCUUCAUUUAAUUAACUGAAUAGUGACUACAUAUAUGCUUGUGUCUGUAAGAUAUAAACUGGCUGUUAGCAAAACUUGAUGUUGAAAACUGAUAGGAUUGUGCAAUAUCUGAAAGAUCUACUUAAUCCUAGAGAUCUUUUAUAAAAUACAAUCAUGAUUCUCCAUAUAAUGUUUUUAAAUGUCUGUUCAUAAUGGAGCUUGGAAUUUAGAAAGACAUGAGAGAAAUAAUAUGUGAUAAUAAAAUACAGAGUAAAUCAAAUGAUUGUGGGAGAAUAAACUAUUUUCACAUAAUGGGAAAUAAUAUCUUGUUCUUUUCUGUGUUAAAACCCCUGAAUGAAAAGCAUGAAAAGGUGCAGAUACUUUUUAUCAACUAAAAUCUCCACAGAAUGCCCCUAAACGAUUUAUGUUAAAAAAUGAACAAUGUUUUUAUUAUGUUUAAAAGGAACAAGGCCAUGAUGCUGUGAUGUGAAAGACAAACACAUUAUUAAGUGAAUAAAAGAAAAAAAACGCA